CAUGAUGGUAUUGUUUAGGGAGAAUGAUGCUAGUUAGGAUAUGAUGAAGUACUUUAGUGUUUAGUGGUAGUAGAUAUUCACAGCUUUUAGGAACUAUCACUAAGUUGGGAUUACCAAAAAUUGUUCCUAAGGCUUCAACAUAUGUUGUCCCAACUGUUUCAUUGUCCCACGAUCCUCUAAAAUAAAGUCCUCUAUUUUUUACGGGAAUGCCUAUCAUGUCGC
rnacentral:lncRNA from 1 species